ACCAGCCCAGACGGCAUCAAGUUCCGAACCUGGUCAGGUCUUGACAGAAGCAGCCAUAAGGGGCCGCUGAUGAGCGUCUGGGCUUUAUCG
rnacentral:SRP_RNA from 1 species